UACGAAGGGGGCUAGCGUUGCUCGGAAUCACUGGGCGUAAAGCGCGCGCAGGCGGUCAUCUACGUCUGGGGUGAAAGCCCGGAGCUCAACUCCGGGAUUGCCUUGGAUACGGGAUGACUUGAGGAUCGGAGAGGCAAGGGGAAUUCCACGUGUAGCGGUGAAAUGCGUAGAGAUGUGGAGGAACACCUGUGGCGAAGGCGCCUUGCUGGCCGAUUUCUGACGCUGAGGCGCGAAAGCGUGGGGAGCAAACAGG
rnacentral:rRNA from 1 species